rnacentral:lncRNA from 1 species
AAAUACUUUUAGUUCACAUUUUUUAAUGUUUAAAAACUAUGUUAACAGAGCAGUUAUAGAACAGAACUUCUUAUAUUUCUUUAUUUACACCACACUCUGAAAAAAAAAACCCAGUUCUAUUUGAUUAACUAUGAAUAGCAAAGUUUUGUGACUUGUGACUCACUUAAAUCACCCAUCUGAAAUUCAUUUACAAGGUUUUUACAUUAAUAAAACAGUAGUGUGGUACAUGUAUUGGACUCAGAUGAAGUCUAAAGUACACUGGACUCUAGAGAGUGGAUUACAUACCAACGACCAAGAUUCAAGUGUUUGGGGAAAAAAAUACCUUAGACAGUCUAUGUUGGCGUCAACACUAAAAUAAAAGGCAAACAUGCAGGACUUUCAAAGCUUGAUUAGAUAAUGGUUCUUUGUUUUCUUUCCUUCAAAUUUGUGCUCAUAAUUAAUAUUCAGGUUCCCUCUCCCCUCUUUUAAAGACUUCCCUAAAAUACUCAAUAUAAAACAGGAGUUACUUAUCCU